CGGGGAGAGCGACACAGACAAAGGAAGAAAUGCUUGCUGUUUUGCGUGACAAAGUCAUGACUUUGCUCUAAGCAGCAUUCAAGAAAGAUCAGCCAGGGCCGAACGCUGUGUGGCGUCGCAGGGGCUCUUGCUCCAGCUGAGCCGACAUGCACGUGCACAUACAUUUGAUAAAGCAUGACUUGGUGAGUGGCUCCUCUGCCCCACGAGAACAACCGUGCUGAACCUGGUUGCGAAGAAGUUGGCCUGAUUUGUGGGAAUGCGGGCCUACGCACUCCG